rnacentral:lncRNA from 1 species
AAAUGAAGAAGGAACAAACAUAUGCACUAACUGUCGUGGAAUAAAGGAAAGAAUGCAGCAAGGAGCUAAGCAAAAAUCUCUGCGAAUUGGAUGGAGGGCAAGAUUCAAGUUCUACUGAUAAUUAGAAACUAUCAAGGUUGCCUGGGUGCUGGUGCUGGGGCAUGGGAACUGCCUCCGCGCGUGCCAGCAUCCUCAGCCCUUCCUCGGGUGGCGUUUGGAGCCUGCCCUGCAGCAGCUUUCCCUGACACCUGGCUGCCAGCACUCAGGGCUCUGGGGCAGCCCUCAAGGGACCUGCAGAGGAUUGGGCAGAUUACAGGUGAUCGCAUUUACCAGGGCAAAAAAAAGGAAGCCAUCACUUGUUCAGAAGACUGUGUUCAAGCCAGGCAUGAAGAACUGAACAAGGCUGGGAUAUAUGGGGAAGGAGAGGCCAGGAUUGUUACACGUAGACCGCAAAGCAGGUGUGUCUGGGAAGUUCUGGUCUGUAACACUGCAUUAAAUACAAUUUGCUGUCUAAAUGCUAAAAAAUAACACACUUGCUCAUGACUUCUUAAUAUAUAAAGCUAUUUUUCAUUCAUAAAAGCAAGGCGACAUAUAACAUUUUUAUAUAUUCAUGCUGGAUUUUAUGAUUGCAAAACCCCCACCCUCAAUACAAGCAACCCCCACCACGGACUUCACCAGAUUUCUACUACUGAGUAGUAUGCUUUAUAAUUUUGUGUGAAAAAUUGUUUUCAUGUAUUUAAAUGUGUCUGGCUAGGUACUUAUUUUAUUUUCCUGUUUAAUUUAUUCUCAAGAUUCUCUGGCCUUCAGUCAAUGCACUGGCUGAUUAAAUUAUUAUCCCAAUAAUGAGAUUUGACACAAUCUAUGCCAGUUACCUAUGUGACCUGCUAAGCAGGUUGAUUGGCAACCCUGAAUAAUUCUCAGCCACCUUAUCUUGCUGACUGAGGGUUGACAAUAAAUGAAACAUAAAGAUUCUGAAAAAGACA